rnacentral:rRNA from 1 species
CAAUAGCGUAUAUUAAAGUUGUUGCAGUUAAAAAGCUCGUAGUUGGAUUUCUUGUGGGAGCGAUCGGUCUGGCGCUUAGCGCGAGUACUUGCAUCGUCUCCGGCCAUCCUUGGGGAGAGUCUGUCUGGCAUUAAGUUGUCGGGCAGAGGAUCCUCAUCGUUUACUGUGAAAAAAUUAGAGUGUUCAAAGCAGGCUUAUGCCGUUGAAUAUAUUAGCAUGGAAUAAUAAGAUAGGACUUUGGUACUAUUUUGUUGGUUUGCGCACCAAAGUAAUGAUUAAUAGGGACAGUUGGGGGUAUUCGUAUUCCGUUGUCAGAGGUGAAAUUCUUGGAUUUACGGAAGACGAACUACUGCGAAAGCAUUUACCAAGGAUGUUUUCAUUAA